rnacentral:lncRNA from 1 species
GAGCCUUCCACAGAAUGCCGUCACUCAUCUCCUCCCCAAACCCCAUUUUCUCUUCAUUUUCUUCCUCAAAAAAACAAACUACCCCAACUCUCAUCACCUAAACCACCUCAAAAACUGAAACCUUUAAAAUACACUCUCAAAAAAAUUGGCCCAACCUAGCCUACGUCGCUACUGUUGUCGCCACCGUCACCACCGUCACCGGAGCUAACUUUUCCUGUCAUCUACAAGAACACAAUGGUUUGAACCUAAAACCAAGCAGCAGACAAUAUCCC